UUGAUUGACUGAUUGAUUGAAAACAUAAGAAAACCCAAAAUGACUUUAAUCUGAUAAUUUCUUUUGAUGUCAGCAUUCUGAUUCUUCCAUAAUUGUAUUCUUUCCAUUCAGUGUAAGCUCAUUCCUUUAACAGAAAUUUCCUUUUUCCUUCUUAAUUUUGGAAUUCCAUGGCACUUUUCCAUUUCCAUGGAGACGCAGUGCAGCAUCCUCAAAUCUCCAAUUCUUACAUCUGUCUCUUUCACUUGUAAGAGCCCUUGUGAUUAUAUUGUCCCACCCAGACAUGCAGGAUAAUCUCCCCAUGUCAAAACCCUUAAUUAAAUCACAUCUGUAAAGUUUCUUCCACCUGUAAUGGAACAUAUUCCCAGGUUUGAGCAACUACAGUGUAGAUACUUUUGCGGGGCUGUGAUUCUGCCUACCGCAGACACUAAGCUUAAAGUGAAACCCACAUCUUAUUCAAAGCUUGGAGGUUUUCCUCUAUUUGGCCAUUUAAAUUUAAUUUUUGUUCCUGUCCUCCAUAGUCUUCUAUUCUCCAGGCUUCAGAGCUAUCAGCUUACCAUUCAAUUAUCUCCUUUUCUCCUUAUCUUCCUUUUUUUUAUUUUUAAAAAACAAUACUUUCAAAGAGCAAAAAUUUUAGAAUUUGAUGAGGUUUAUUCUAGUGAAGUUUUUAUCGUUUGUACUUUUUGUACCCUAAGGAUGCUUUGUCUACCUCAAGAUAUAGUUUUUUUGUUCUCUUAAAAACAUUAAAGGAUUCCAGUUUGUAUGUUUAGCUCUGUGAGAUUGGCAGAGGGGAACUGGAUCACUCGGGUCAGGUUUUCGGGAUGCCUUUUUCUGUCUCUGGACUUUGCUGGGGUGACCUCACUGACACCCAUGGCUUCAACUACCACAUAUGCUGAUGGCUCCAAGUCUAUCUGUGCAGCCCGGACCCCUCUUCAUCUCCAGACCCUGGAAGCUGAUGCCCUGGGCAGCUCCUCCUAUUUCCCAGGCACCAGGAAUGUGAGCUUCUCCCUCCCCACAGUGCCCCUCUCCUCAGGGUCCCCAUGUCUCUGAAGGCACCACCAUCUUCCAAGAUACAAGGGCCUCCCCAGGGUCUAGGAGUGCCAGACAUGUAACUAGAAAUGAGAUGGCAUCACUGUCUAAAUAAAACACCACUAGAUGGAGAUAGAACAGGGGAGCCCCUUGAAUGUGGCAAGAGCACCCUCCCAGGCAUGUUCCACCCUCAUCCCGGGCUCAUCAGGAGGGUGCUUAGGAGGCACACAGUUUUAAGGGGGUUGGAGGAAUAGUUCAGAGGCUGAGAUGUUGCACCCACAGCUGAGAAUCCCUUUCUAGUGCUCUGUGUCCUCACAAAUCCCCAGAAAUCAUCCUCCCCUGGAGAGUUCCCAAAGCCCUUGCAGACCUGCCUUGUCUGUGCUGUCCUGCCUGUGCCCCCUGGUGGACACCUCCAUUCACUGCCUGUCCCGUGGGUUCUGUCCAAAGGUGGAAUCUGUUAUCAAUGUGGAUUUAUAAUGGGGGUAACUUCCUCCCUAAGGGAAGCCUCAGUCUCACCAGCAAUGGCAGACACAGCCAGGCAUGUAGACACAGAGGAAGUGAGACAGAAAGUGUGCACAGCCCAGAGAGCCUGCCUACAUCAUCCUGUGGUGACCAGGACAAGAAGGCCUCAGCAAUCUUGCCAAGCAGAUGUAGGAGUGACUUUCUCGAGCCUCAUGGGCUUGAGACUGUUGUGAGCGCUCAGGGUCUCUCCCUUAGAAAGGCGCACAUUUAAUUCUCCGUUUUGAAAUGUGAACUAGGACCCCCACAAAUUAUGCAGCCCCCACAAAUUAUUCUGUUCUGAAGGAACCAUUCUUAUCAGAAAUUGGUGCUGGAUUGACUUGGAGAAAAGCCUGACCAUAACCUUCAGGAUGAAAUAAAAGCCUGGGUGAAUGGACACUUUAGCAGACUUGCGGAAGAUUGGGGCCUUCGGCAUUCAGAAGAGGAAUGCAGACUGUGCAAGAUCUGAGGCCAGGAUCCAGCCUCCCAGGUUCAGGGAGCUCCCUGGGUCCUUGCUAAAGUUGUCUUGCCCAUGGGUGCUUUAGACAGCAGCACCUUUAUUUCAUGGGAUAGAUGGAGAAUUCUCAACAGAGCCUUCACAAGAAUCUGAUCAUCACAUCUUGAGCUCAGCCUCCCUGUAGCUUUUUUUUAUGGUGCCAGCCACUUCGUAGAGAGUCCUCUGUGAUCCUUACAAGAAAUAUCCUUUUGCAAAAAAAGACCAAAACCACAUAGUGAGCCUCCCCACUCCCUGUUUCAAGAAAGCUGGCUUAGCAAUGUUGUCUGUUUCUUGGAUGUGCUGUGUUACCCAUACGUGGGAAGAAAGAGUUUUAAGAGUUAGCAAAUAGGGUCACAUCCAGCAGAGAACAUGUGGUUGGGGACUAGGGCAAUGGUGACUCCUCAGACCUCAGCUCUAGCCUGAUAAACGUGGUUAACAGAGAAGUAGGAGGCAGUGACAUGAAAUGGGUGUUCACAGCCUUGUGUUGGGAAUUGAAUGAGAAACAAGAGCUUGAACUUGGAUGUUCCCCAGAGUGAGCGCAGGGUCAGAUGAGUUUUUCAAGAUAGGGGUGAUUGGUCUUUCCCAGGGUGGGGCCAUAAUGAAAGGCAAUGAUAGAUUAAACGGUAAUAAGUUACUAGAGGAGGGCACCCUGUCUUCAGUUACAUGAUGAUUUGCUAGGUGGCUCAUGACAAGGUAAUUAAGACGAAGGAAACAAAGGUAGGAGGCACAGCCUGGGCUGGACAGCCAGCUGCUGAUAGCUUCUGCUGAGAUGGCCACAGGACUCCAGGUGUCCUUGCCGCAGCUGGCCACAGGACUGCUGCUCCUCCUCAGUGUCCAGCCCUGGGCUGAGAGUGGGAAGAUGCUGGUGGUGCCCGCUGAUGGCAGCCACUGGCUCAGCAUGCGGGAGGCCGUGCGGGAGAUCCAUGCCAGAGGCCACCAGGCGGUGGUCCUCACCCCGGAGGUGAAAAUGCACAUCAAAGAAGAGAACUUUUUCACCCUGACAACCUAUGCCAUUUCAUGGACCCAGGGCGAAUAUGAUCACCUUUUGCUGGGACACACUCAAUUGUUCUUCGAAACAGAACAUCUUCUGAUGAGAUUUUCUAGAAGUAUAGCAGUUAUGAACAAUAUGUCUUUGAUUAUACAUAGGUCUUGUGUGGAGCUACUGCAUAAUGAGGCCCUGAUCAGGCACCUGAAUGCUACUUCCUUUGAUGUGGUCUUAACAGACCCCUUUUACCUCUGCGGGGCGGUGCUGGCUAAGUAUCUGUCGAUUCCUGCUGUGUUUUUUUUUGAGGAACAUUCCAUGUGACUUAGACUUUAAGGGCACACAGUGUCCAAAUCCUUACUCCUAUAUUCCUAAGUUCCUAACGACCAAUUCAGACCACAUGACAUUCCUGCAAAGGGUCAAGAACAUGCUCUAUCCUCUGGCCCUGUCCUACAUUUGCGAUACUGUUUCUGUUCCUUAUGCAAGCCUUGCCUCUGAGCUUUUUCAGAGAGAGGUGUCAGUGGUGGAUCUUCUCAGCCAUGCAUCCGUGUGGCUGUUCCGAUCGGACUUUGUGAUGGACUACCCCAGGCCGAUCAUGCCCAACAUGGUCUUCAUUGGAGGCAUCAACUGUGCCAACAGGAAGCCACUAUCUCAGGUCUGUAUGGUGCGUUCAUCCAAUCAAUGUUCCAGGCAAAACACUUUUUAAAAAAUGUAUUUACUUACGAGCAUCUUCGUAUCUACUUAUCUUUCCAAAGAUUUCAUUUCUGCUUCUCAUUGUUGUAAUAGUCUUCAGUGAGAUAAACUUUUAAAGGAUCAGUGGUAGUGCAGUUCAGGCUUUCAAUGACCACUGAGAGGAAGAAGAGGCAGGGACGAGGAUCUGUCAAAGGAUGGUCAAGGAGUGAUGUGACUCACAGAGACUGUUCAUUUGUAAAGGCGUCGUCUUCGUGGUUGUGGAUGUGCCUCAUCUGGGCAGGAGCAGGGAUACUACAUUGAGAACUAAUCCAUCCAAAUCUUGCUGCAAGGUUUUCAGUAGAAACGAUGAGGGAAUAGCAAUGUACAAUUGUUGACGUGAUAAUUUUUAGUGGUCCCGUCUUGCAAAAGACAGAGAGGUGACCACAGGAGACGUAAGUACUCAGAGGAAGUAGAAGUUUCAAAGAGGUUGACUCAGUUCAGUUGAAUUGGGUCAAUGCAGGUGCAAUGGAUGUCUGUGAUCAGAGAAUGAAACACAGAGUUCAGUUUCCAGAGAGGGAAUUUUGGAUUAUAAUAGGAGAAUGUUUCUUGUGAAGACGCUACUUAAAAAAAAUUCUUAAUAGGUUAACUUCAUGGUCUAAUAGAGAAUUGUCCAAUAGAAAGAUCAUGUAAACCACAUACGUAAUUUAAACUUUUCUAGUGGGCAUGUUAGAAACCAGAAAAAAAGAAGCCACCGAAAUUAAUUUGAAUAAUGCAUUUUAUUUAACCAGAUGUAUCCCAAAUAUUAUCCUUUCAACAUGUGUUCAAUAUUAAAUUAAUAUUAUAUAUAGUUUUUUUGUUGUUAAGUCUUCAAAAUCUAGCAUAUAUUUGCCACUUACAGCAUAUCUCCAUUUGGAAUAGCCACAUUUCAAGUGCUCAAUAGUCAUAUGUAGUUAGUGACCACAAUAUGGUCAAUGUUUAUAAAUGUUCCGUGGACAAAACUAAAAUUCAGUCUUUUCAAUUUUUCUAUCUUUUUUUGUUUUUCUUUUGAGUUGGGGUCUCACUCUGUC